rnacentral:rRNA from 1 species
GGUUGACCUCGGAUCAGGUAGGGAUACCCGCUGAACUUAAGCAUAUCAAUAAGCGGAGGAAAAGAAACCAACAGGGAUUGCCUUAGUAACGGCGAGUGAAGCGGCAACAGCUCAAAUUUGAAAGCUGGCCCUUUUAGGGUCCGCAUUGUAAUUUGUAGAGGAUGAUUCGGCGAGGGCUCCUGCCUAAGUCCCCUGGAACGGGGCGUCAUAGAGGGUGAGAAUCCCGUAUGCGGUAGGUUGCCUUAGCCAUGUGAAUCUCCUUCGACGAGUCGAGUUGUUUGGGAAUGCAGCUCUAAAUGGGAGGUAAAUUUCUUCUAAAGCUAAAUACCGGCCAGAGACCGAUAGCGCACAAGUAGAGUGAUCGAAAGAUGAAAAGCACUUUGGAAAGAGAGUUAAAAAGUACGUGAAAUUGUUGAAAGGGAAGCGCUUGCAACCAGACUUGUCCGCAGUUGCUCAGCCGGUCUCCUGACCGGCGUACUCUUCUGCGGCCAGGCCAGCAUCAGUUCGGGCGGUCGGAUAAAGGCCUCGGGAAUGUGGCUCCUCUCGGGGAGUGUUAUAGCCCGGGGUGCAAUGCGGCCAGCCUGGACUGAGGAACUCGCUUCGGCAAGGAUGCUGGCGUAAUGGUUGUAAGCGGCCCGUCUUGAAACACGGACCAAGGAGUCUAACAUCUAUGCGAGUGUUCGGGUGUCAAACCCGUACGCGUAAUGAAAGUGAACGGAGGUGGGAACCCGCAAGGGUGCACCAUCGGCCGAUCCUGAUGUCUUCGGAUGGAUUUGAGCAAGAGCAUAGCUGUUGGGACCCGAAAGAUGGUGAACUAUGCCUGAAUAGGGUGAAGCCAGAGGAAACUCUGGUGGAGGCUCGCAGCGGUUCUGACGUGCAAAUCGAUCGUCAAAUUUGGGUAUAGGGGCGAAAGACUAAUCGAACCAUCUAGUAGCUGGUUCCUGCCGAAGUUUC